rnacentral:rRNA from 2 species
CUACACCUGAUACAAGCAAGAUUACCCGCUGAACUUAAGCAUAUCAGUA